GACGAACGCUGGCGGCGUGCUUAACACAUGCAAGUCGAACGGAAAGGCCCUGCUUUUGUGGGGUGCUCGAGUGGCGAACGGGUGAGUAACACGUGAGUAACCUGCCCUUGACUUUGGGAUAACUUCAGGAAACUGGGGCUAAUACCGGAUAGGAGCUCCUGCUGCAUGGUGGGGGUUGGAAAGUUUCGGCGGUUGGGGAUGGACUCGCGGCUUAUCAGCUUGUUGGUGGGGUAGUGGCUUACCAAGGCUUUGACGGGUAGCCGGCCUGAGAGGGUGACCGGCCACAUUGGGACUGAGAUACGGCCCAGACUCCUACGGGAGGCAGCAGUGGGGAAUAUUGCACAAGGGGCGGAAGCCUGAUGCAGCAACGCCGCGUGCGGGAUGACGGCCUUCGGGUUGUAAACCGCUUUCGCCUGUGACGAAGCGUGAGUGACGGUAAUGGGUAAAGAAGCACGGGCUAACUACGUG
rnacentral:rRNA from 1 species